rnacentral:lncRNA from 1 species
AGGUGUGGCCCUAAAAAAACCCCAAAACUAAGAGGUUGGGCUCUAGGGACUCCAUAUACUUGGCCAGCAAUUAGACUCUCCUCCUGCCUUUCAUGGACUCCUCAGGUACUCAGGGACCCGGGGAAAGGGCGGACCACAAGGACGCUCCCUUUUGGUUCUGAACUUGAGAUCACCUCACGCUGAAUGAGCUCUCAGGCCUGAUGGGCCCCUCAGCCUCUCCCACAGCCCCAUGCACCACGAUAUAGUACCUGGCUCAGGGAGCCUUUCCCUACCCGAGGCCCGUGGCUCCCUGGCCAUUGUGGGGCCCUUCCGUGCUUGUCUUUGUCUACCCAGGAAGGUGUUUCUGGGUCUGGACCUCAUGUAGGUUCAUCUUUUGCACCAACGUAGAUACUCUCUCCUCUCCUAACCAGUCUUAACUGGAGUCUGACUCUUGGUGGGAUCUGGCUUCCUCUCCUGGGGUCUUCAGCCUGCUUCAGUUUGAAAGAACACCAACUCCAGUCCAGCUUUCUGCUGCUGGAUGGUUUACGUGGCCAUCAGACUUUCCUUAGGCUUGAUCCAAAUUAAAAAUUCCUCUCUGUAGAAGCAUGGAGUGCCCCGGUAGACACUCUCUGUGGUCCCAUUUCCGCUCUAAAUAGUUCUCUUUUUUCCAGGAUCCGUUUAGAGCAUAAGGACUAAUUUGGUUGAAACUUGUGUACCUGGUCCCUAGGCAGCUCGCUUCCACUUCUGGCUGGAUCCUGGCAUCUCAACAAAACUUAACUUACUUCAACAGCAGGUACUGGGGCCCUGAUUCAAGCCGGUAAUUAAUGUCAGGCUCUGGAUGCAAGUAGAUCAGCGAGAAAAUAUCUCUGGCAUUAAAAUGAUCCCCAGACUUUAAAGACAUGGUUAUCAUAGAGAUGGCGAGUGAUGCCUGAGACGUGUACAAGGUUCUCCCUGGAAAAAAGACAGUACUUGUUAAGCAAUGUCUAUGUGCCAGGCAGUAAGUGAUAGACGUCUCUCUUAAUUCUCCCAGAAACACUACUGGGUAUUUAUUAUUUGUGUCUCCAUUUUGCAAAGGAAGCAAUUGAGGCACAGAUUGUAGGUAACUAGGCCAGGGUCACAGGGCCCGUGGUGGUUGAGCCUGGGUUACCACUGAGGCCAUCUGACCCCAGACCUGGGGCAUGGAUCGUAAAUUUUGCCUGAAAUUAUCAAUGAAGGCUUACCAUUGGAAGUGGUAUUUGAGCGACAUCUUAAAAGGCAAGUAGUGAACUAAUAGUGUCUUAGCCUGGAUGAAUAUGACAUGAGUCAAAGACCCCAGGCCGGAAGGGACAAUCUGUGUAAAUGCACCGAAACCUGAGAGCCAGGGCACCUUGGGAAAGGUUGGGUAAAGGAGAGGCUGCUCCUGGUGGCACUUCUCAACGAUCCCGGGGCUGGAGACGUAGGGCUUCCUCUGUGCUUUCCAUGGCUAGAGAAAGACAUCCCUGAUCUGCCUUCUCAGAGGUUUGUGUGCUCUGGUUUUCGCAUCUCUAACCUCCAUCAGGCCAGGUAUCACCUGUGCGUGUGGCCUCCUACAUGGACCACUCAUGCAAAACCUUUCAGAUACUUUUAUUUAUUUAUUUUUUUGUCUUCAUCUUAGGGCCUCACCCGCAGCAUAUGGAGAUUCCUAGGCUAGGGGUCAAAUCAGAGCUGUAGCCGCCGGCCUAUACCAUAGCCAUAGCAAUGCAGCAUCCAAGCCACUUCUGCGACCUACAGCACAGCUCACGGCAAUGCUGGAUCCUUAACCCACUGAGCGAGGCCAGGGAUCGAACGUGUGUCCUCACGGGUGCUAGUCAGAUUCGUUUCCCCUGAGCCACGACAGGAACUCCCCAAACCUUUCAUAUCUUUGAUCUCUUUGGCUCCAAUACUGUUCAUUUCCUCUUCUUUCUAGCCACCCACUUUGAUGGAAAUGUCUUCUAACCUACUCAGAACCUGCAAACUAUCCACACUGGGGAUCUCAAGGUCCAGCAGCCUCAUCCUCCUUUCUGGCCACACGCGUUUCCCUCUCUUUCUCCUGGAAUACCUCCUGGAAAUACCAGUUCCCUGACCUCCAUUGAUCACCACCGCCCCUGCUGCAGUUCAGGCACCUGGAUAUUUGUCUGGAUUCCUUCAGUGGCCACACCAUUCUGCCUGGAAUCAGGUUUCCCAACUCCCCUAAUCCUUGUCAUUGCCACACGCUCUGGUUCUUUCCAUGACUCGUGUUCCCUGGUGCCCAGCAGAUCUUGGCCCAGUGGGGAGGUUGGAGGCUUAGCUGGACUGGAAUUGCCAUGAGUCUCCAGGCCUGAGUUCUGAUUUCUAUUCUGGAACACCAGUUCUUUAUCAGGGACUAUUGACUGUUGUCUGCUCUGGGUAGCUUCUGGUAAAAUAGCACUCCCCUCCUGGUGGUCCCGCCACUCCCAUCUCAAGCACAGACCUUGACUCACCUGAACUCCUGACCUUGGAAGUUGACCGUCCUCCAAUUACUUUUCAAGCUAUUAUAGAAAUUACUCAUCUUUGGGGGGAUCAUCAAGUGUCAUUUCAAAGUAUUUUUCCCUUUUCAGUGACUUUUUGAUAUACCUUAUACCCUGGAAUCAAUACUUCUUCUUCAUGUGGGUAGUAAGAGUAUUCUUUAAUGGGAACAUCCAAGCGAGUGGUGAUUUUAAAGACGUUCCAAUGCCAUUUUUUCCAAAUGAAAGGACACGUACCUCUUCUUUUAGACAAAGUCGAUACGAUAAAUCCCCCCAAAUAUACAUCUCCACUCCCAUUGUAAUGAGACGUGGGGACAGAGCAUUUAUGUUCUGUAUAACAAUCUCCUUGAUUAAGAAGCUGAACAGCUCUUGUCAGAUAAGAAUGGAAGGCUUUGAAUGGUAAACUGCCUGAAUCAUUGCGAAAUCCUCUCACAGCUCUAUUAAAUUCUAUGCUGUCCCUGCUAGAAGAGGCACUAGAGCUGUUCCAAUGAAAAUCACUGAGUUUCUCUGAAGCACUAUUUGUGUUCUUUAUGUAGUUCCAUUUCUCUGAUACCCAUUUUCAUUCGGUUGAAAAGCCUUUAUAUGCCUCCAGUUCUUCUCGUAGCAGCUGGGGUGCUCUUCCUCCAUUUCUUCGGUACAGCCGACAUACUGAUCAUCAAAUGCAUUGUCAGCCGUGUCUAGGUCCACCUGAUCAGACACCUGUAGAGAAGGAGCAGUGUCGCUUGAAGGGGAGCAGAAUACGCCACCCCAAAAUGUGCCACUUUGGCGUGUGGAUUAGUUUGAGGUGAAAGCAAUCAAGAACCAGCAGACUCAGGAAAAACUUUUAUCUCUUCCUUAACUGCCUAAAAGAGUUUAGACAGGGGGCCUGUAUAAGAGAAGAAACUAUUACCGGAGAUGAUUUUUUUUUUAAUCUGAAAGACAACAUCUACAUUGCAGGGCAAACAUUUGAUGAGCAAACAUCUGCUCUUCUUAUCUUCCUGUGACUUCCCCUCUUCCCCUCUGAAGCCCUAGAUCCCUCUUGCAUUUCUUAGCCCAGGAUGGCUUAUAAGCCUCACAUGUGUGACUUGACUUUGCGUCUCACGUCUUUGUGCACUUCUGUACGUACAUAAUCAACUUUGUCUUUCUCCUGUUCAUCUGUCUUAUGUCAGUGUAAUCCUUAGACCAGCCAAAGAACCUAGAAGGGAAGAGGGCAAACUUUUCUGCCCCUACACUCUCGUCACAUUGACUGAGGAACCGGCACGCUCUCCAUCCUCCACAGAAGCCAGUUUAUGUGUGCCUGGCUCAGCAUGAUAUACAUGCCACGUGCCAUGGUCCCAUAGCUCAUGAAUGACACACGCGUGUGUGCGGGAUGACUGCAUACUAAUUACACUCUGAAACAAUUGAGCUUCGUAGUGUUUAUUUAGCUUCUUGAUCUCAUCUUUACAAGUUCUACCAGGCCCUAUUCACUGAGCCCGCCCUCUGAGGCCUCUUUGCCUCCAGAGGCUGUGAGAGGAGGGCAGGGGUCGCCAGGGGUUCGUGGGCAGGAAAUGUCACCUGUACUUUCAGACACCAAGUUAGGACUGAAACGUGAGCCCCUGCACGGAGGCCCGAUGCCAUCCUCGAGGUCGGCUGGGGCUGCGAAGGAACGCUCGCCUUCAAAGUGAGGUGUGAAAAUGUAGCUUCAUUGUACGUAUGUCAGCGCAUCCCUUCAGCGCUGGCAGAGCCCAGCUGCGAAUCUGUGAAGUUCAACUAUUCCAGGCUCCUCUCUUUCUCGUCCCUCCUCGACGACUAGCCUGGAUGCCCUGGAAACCACGGUCUGAAUCUUACAUACAGGGUUGCAGUGAACCUGACUUUGGUCCUGCCUGAGAGAGGACCCCCGAUGGAAAAAGGCACCCUCCCAGGUAGACGGCUUUUUACUGUGCAGACACUUGUUAGCGAAAACCAUGAGAUCCCGCGAGCCCUUCAUAGUCUCAUUGUAUUUUCUCCUCCUAGGUGAAUACUGCAACUCCUUUCAAAAGUAUGCUAUCAGUGGUCUUUCUUCUUCCUCAUUUUUUUCUUUUUUGGCCAUCUGACCACACAUGGAGUUCCCGGGCCAGGGAUCAGAUCUGAGGAGCAGUUGCAACCUAAGCCGCAGCUGUGAAACGCCAGGUCCUUAACCCACUGUGCGGGGCUGGGGAUUGAACCUACGUCCCAGGGCUCCUUAGAUGCCACUGAUCCCAUUGCACCACAGUGGCAAGUCCUCAAUAGUCUUUACAAGUAGGUCUUGCAAUUUGCUAGGGCUCCCAAAUACCAGAGUUAUGAGCUUUCACCAGGACCAGCUUGCCUCAGUACUUAAUACUUUGUUUUUCACUUUCCUCUUCUUUAUGCAAAAGAUGCAUUUAACAAGGUGAGGCAAGCAGGUAACUUCAGUUAUCUGUCCUUUCCGCAGGCAGCAGAAUAUGCCACCCCAAAACAUGCCACUUGGGCAUACUAAUUAUUUUGAAUUACAUUUACUUAUGAAACAGCCAGCGCAAGGACACUCUGGCUGCCUUUGUUCCUCUGAAAGCACGUAAAAGUUACCCUCCCUGUACCGAGAGGAAGAGAGACAUACUUAUCACUGGAGAUGGGAAAUUUAUUGCCAAGACGGCCGUGUCCACACAUCUUGUUCCGCCUUUGCUAAUUUACUACCCAAGUCCAAACUUCUUUGUCUGGUCAGUCCUUCCCAAACUCACUGUUUCUUUGUCUGAAAGGUAUAAACGCUGCCUGCUUCGGUCAAUUCUUUAGGUCUCAUGUUUUUAUGGGCUCCCGUAGGUAUGAAAUUAAAAUGGUUUUUCUCUUGUAAAUCUGUCUUAUGCCAAUUUAAUUAUCAGGGCAGCCCAAGAACCUUGAAGAGAAGAAGGGAAACGUUUUCUUCCUCUACCCAGAGCUGAGUAAAUGAAAAGAUCCUCCUUGUGCAUAGGUUUUGCUCCUUCCCGUAGAGUUGAGAGCUGGCCUUGGCAGAAUACGGAGCAACCCAGAGCUGGAGAAAGACAGAGCUCGCAGGCGAUGCUGGCAGCGCAGUGGUCCCUCCCUCCUCUCCCCAGGUCGGACUGCCCACAGGACGGUCUCCGAGCCCGUUUUGAUUCCAAAGGCUUUGCUAUUUCCAGUAGGGAUCCCAAGCCGAGCCUUUCCAUUUUGUUCCCGUAGAAAAGUACCAUGACCUCUUGCAAAGGUGCGUGCUUUGUCUUCUUGACAAAUGAGUCUCAGCAUUUGCCGAUAUAGGGCUUCGAUUUUAUGUCAACACAACUGAAAACAUUUCGGUGUUGUAAUCUCUUGCUCAGACGCAAACUGCCUGUGAUUAACUGCACCUAAAUAAACUCCAUUACUCCUGUUUUAAGGACACAAACCACAUCCCUGGCAAGGUGAGUCACGGAUCUGAGAGUAUCAUCCAGCUGCUUCUUGGUGAGCCCGUACCUUAUUCCUUCCUGCAUGGCCCUCUUAGCAAGGAACAAAAUUUUAACUCUCACCUUUGGCCUGUGAUCCUAUUUUUCCCAACAUUGUGCUAUAUUCUUGGCUGGAUCUGGAAGAGCCUGUGAUUCAUGGAGGGAGCCUGCAGUGUAGGGACCACACAUGCCUGGCAACCCUUCCACUGCCUGAGUUUCUGUUCCUUCUACUUCAUUGGACUCUUUCUUUCUUAGAGUGAAGUUCUUGUGGUAGAAGCAUCUCUUAUUUAUGUAUUUAUUGGCUACGCUGGCGGCAUGCAGAAGUUCCUGGGCCAGGGAUUGAACCCACACCCCAGCAGUGAGUCGUGCUGACAAUGCCAGAUUCUUAACCAUGAGGCCCCUAGGGAACUAUUCCUCAUCUUAGAGAGCUUUGCUAUUUUUUCUUUUUUGGCCACACCCUUGGCAUGUGGAAGUUUCCAGGCCAGGGACUGAACCUGUGCCACAGCAGCAACCCAAGCCCCUGCAGUGACAAUGCUGGAUCCUUAAACCACUGGGCUCUGAGCUCUACCAUUUCUUGG